UGAAAGUGUGCCUAGGGUUCCGCGGGCAACGGAGCCUGGACUGGUCCGAGCGGCACAGGCGGCAAGCGAUUGUCGAUGCUGUCACACCGAGGGGAUAAAAGCCCGGGAGGG
rnacentral:sRNA from 1 species